UUGGCCUCAAAUCAGGUAGGACUACCCGCUGAACUUAAGCAUAUCAAUAAGCGGAGGAAAAGAAACUAACAAGGAUUCCCUUAGUAACUGCGAGUGAAGAGGGAAGAGCUCAAAUUUAAAAUCUGACAGUGUCUUGCUGUCCGAGUUGUAAUCUAGAGAAGUGCUGCCCGUGCUGGACCAUGUACAAGUCUCCUGGAANUGGAGCGUCACAGAGGGUGAGAAUCCCGUCUUUGACAUGGACUGCCAGUGCAUUUGUGGUGUGCUCUCAAAGAGUCGAGUUGUUUGGGAAUGCAGCUCUAAAUGGGUGGUAAACUCCAUCUAAAGCUAAAUAUUGG
rnacentral:rRNA from 1 species